rnacentral:rRNA from 1 species
GACGAACGCUGGCGGCGUGCCUAAUACAUGCAAGUUGAGCGCUGAAGGUUGGUACUUGUACCGACUGGAUGAGCAGCGAACGGGUGAGUAACGCGUGGGGAAUCUGCCUUUGAGCGGGGGACAACAUUUGGAAACGAAUGCUAAUACCGCAUAAAAACUUUAAACACAAGUUUUAAGUUUGAAAGAUGCAAUUGCAUCACUCAAAGAUGAUCCCGCGUUGUAUUAGCUAGUUGGUGAGGUAAAGGCUCACCAAGGCGAUGAUACAUAGCCGACCUGAGAGGGUGAUCGGCCACAUUGGGACGGAGACACGGCCCAAACUCCUACGGGAGGCAGCAGUAGGGAAUCUUCGGCAAUAGACGAAAGUCUGACCGAGCAACGCCGCGUGAGUGAAGAAGGUUUUCGGAUCGUAAAACUCUGUUGGUAGAGAAGAACGUUGGUGAGAGUGGAAAGCUCAUCAAGUGACGGUAUCUACACAGAAAGGGACGGCUAACUACGUG